rnacentral:rRNA from 1 species
UGCCUGGUAGCGGGGGAGUAACUAUUGGAAACGAUAGCUAAUACCGCAUAAGAGUAGAUGUUGCAUGACAUUUGCUUAAAAGGUAGCAAUUGCAUCACUACCAGAUGGACCUGCGUUGUAUUAGCUAGUUGGUGGGGUAACGGCUCACCAAGGCGACGAUACAUAGCCGACCUGAGAGGGUGAUCGGCCACACUGGGACUGAGACACGGCCCAG